rnacentral:rRNA from 1 species
GACGUAGGGCGCGAGCGUUGUCCGGAUUUAUUGGGCGUAAAGAGCUCGUAGGCGGCUUGUCGCGUCGACUGUGAAAUCCCGAGGCUCAACUUCGGGCUUGCAGUCGAUACGGGCAGGCUAGAGUUCGGUAGGGGAGACUGGAAUUCCUGGUGUAGCGGUGGAAUGCGCAGAUAUCAGGAAGAACACCGAUGGCGAAGGCAGAUCUCUGGGCCGUAACUGACGCUGAGGAGCGAAAGCAUGGGGAGCGAACAGG